rnacentral:rRNA from 1 species
GAUGAACGCUAGCGGGAGGCUUAACACAUGCAAGUCGAGGGGCAGCAUAGGGUAGCAAUACUCUGAUGGCGACCGGCAAACGGGUGAGUAACGCGUAUGCAACCUACCCUGUACAGGGGGAUAACCCGGAGAAAUUCGGACUAAUAUCCCGUAAUAAUAUCCGGAGGCAUCUUUGGAUAUUUAAAGUUCCGACGGUACGGGAUGGGCAUGCGUAACAUUAACUGGUUGGUAAGGUAACGGCUUACCAAGGCUAUGAUGUUUAGGGGUCCUGAGAGGGUGGUCCCCCACACUGGUACUGAGACACGGACCAGACUCCUACGGGAGGCAGCAGUGAGGAAUAUUGGUCAAUGGGGCGCAAGCCUGAACCAGCCAUCCCGCGUGCAGGAAGACGGCCCUAUGGGUUGUAAACUGCUUUUCCAGGGAGAGAAACUUACGCACGUGUUGCGUGACUGACGGUACCCUGGGAAUAAGCAUCGGCUAACUCCGUG